AUCCAGCUGACGAGUCCCAAAUAGGACGAAACCUACAUCCUGUAU
rfam:Schistosoma curassoni strain Dakar, Senegal genome assembly, scaffold: SCTD_contig0000479